GGGACACACCGCACAGGUGCGCGGCUCCAUCACCCGACAGACCCUAUGGGGGGGGGGACGAACCGCACAGGCGCGCGGCUCCAUCACCCGACAGACCCUACGGGGGGGGGACACACCACACAGGCGCGCGGCUCCAUCACCCGACAGACCCUACGGGGGGGGGACACACCACACAGGUGCGCGGCUCCAUCACCCCACAGACCCUACGGGGGGGGGGGGACGCACCGCACAGGCGCGCGGCUCCAUCACCCGACAGACCCUACGGGGGGGGG